CUUUCCGCCGACCACAAAAGCAGAUUGGAGAAGAUUAGCCCUCGCUUGGCCGAUCGCCCCGGGCCGAGCUGAUCGAGGAGCAGGUGUGAAUCGAUAAAGCCUCUCGCUCUACGUAUUGACCGCUGGUUAGACACAAGCCAGUGACAGGAGAGCGGGUGUAAUAUCUGCCGGCUGCUGUAUUGUGUGAAAGGUCACGGAGGGGGUGGAGUGCAGACCGGAGCUCCCUGUGGGCCAACUUCUCUGUUUUAUAGACCCACGGAAGACUGGACCGCUGCUCAGCCGGAGGUGGCACAGCGGGGGAAGCAGGUCAGGACUCCGAGGAGGUGUUUACAGGC
ensembl:lncRNA